rfam:Triticum aestivum genome assembly, contig: Triticum_aestivum_CS42_TGACv1_scaffold_006131_1AL
AUUCUACUCCCUCCGUUGCACAAUACAUGCCUUCUAUUUGUAAAAAUAUAUAUGUAUCUAGACAUGUCUUAGUAUAUAGGUACAUCCAUUUUUGGACAAAUGGAAGUCAAGUAUUUUGGAACGGAGGGAGUACACA